CAGGAUGAACGCUAGCUACAGGCUUAACACAUGCAAGUCGAGCGGAACGCCUUCGGGUGUUUAGCGGCAGACGGGUGAGUAACACGUAUCCAACCUUCCCUUACUCGGGUAUAGCCUCGGGAAACUGAGAGUAAUCCCCGAUGUGGUGCACUGAAAGCAUUUUUUGCGCACGAAAGAUUUAUCGGUAAGGGGUGGGGAUGCGUUCCAUUAGGUAGUAGGCGGGGUAACGGCCCACCUAGCCGAUGAUGGAUAGGGGUUCUGAGAGGAAGGUCCCCCACAUUGGAACUGCGACACGGUCCAAACUCCUACGGGAGGCAGCAGUGAGGAAUAUUGGUCAAUGGGCGAGAGCCUGAACCAGCCAAGUAGCGUGCAGGAUGACGGCCCUAUGGGUUGUAAACUGCUUUUGUGCGGGAAUAACGGUCGCCACGUGUGGUGAUGUGCAUGUACCGUACGAAUAAGGAUCGGCUAACUCCGUGCCAGCAGCGGC
rnacentral:rRNA from 1 species